UUGAACGCUGGCGGCAGGCCUAACACAUGCAAGUCGAGCGGAUGAAGGGAGCUUGCUCCUGGAUUCAGCGGCGGACGGGUGAGUAAUGCCUAGGAAUCUGCCUGGUAGUGGGGGAUAACGUCCGGAAACGGGCGCUAAUACCGCAUACGUCCUGAGGGAGAAAGUGGGGGAUCUUCGGACCUCACGCUAUCAGAUGAGCCUAGGUCGGAUUAGCUAGUUGGUGGGGUAAAGGCCUACCAAGGCGACGAUCCGUAACUGGUCUGAGAGGAUGAUCGGUCACACUGGAACUGAGACACGGUCCAGACUCCUACGGGAGGCAGCAGUGGGGAAUAUUGGACAAUGGGCGAAGGCCUGAUCCAGCCAUGCCGCGUGUGUGAAGAAGGUCUUCGGAUUGUAAAGCACUUUAAGUUGGGAGGAAGGGCAGUAAGUUAAUACCUUGCUGUUUUGACGUUACCAACAGAAUAAGCACCGGCUAACUUCGUG
rnacentral:rRNA from 1 species